GUUGUUUUGGCAGAUUAGUGCAAUAAUCUUAGAAUUUAUUUAUACAACAAUUUGGGUUGUAAAUAACA
rnacentral:tRNA from 1 species